AGGGUUUGAUUAUGGCUCAGGACGAACGCUGGCGGCGCGCCUAACACAUGCAAGUCGAACGGAGCUGAGAGGAGCUUGCUUUUCUUAGCUUAGUGGCGAACGGGUGAGUAACGCGUGAGUAACCUGCCCUGGAGUGGGGGACAACAGUUGGAAACGACUGCUAAUACCGCAUAAGCCCACGAUCCGGCAUCGGAUUGAGGGAAAAGGAUUUAUUCGCUUCAGGAUGGACUCGCGUCCAAUUAGCUAGUUGGUGAGGUAACGGCCCACCAAGGCGACGAUUGGUAGCCGGACUGAGAGGUUGAACGGCCACAUUGGGACUGAGACACGGCCCAG
rnacentral:rRNA from 1 species